GAUCAUGGCUCAGGGUGAACGCUAGCGACAGGCUUAACACAUGCAAGUCGAGGGGCAGCGAGGGAGUGGCAACACUUCUGUCGGCGACCGGCGCACGGGUGAGUAACGCGUAUGCAACCUGCCCUUCACAGGGGGAUAACCGGGAGAAAUUCCGACUAAUACCGCAUACGUCCUCCGGGGGCAUCCCCGGGGGAUGAAAGAAUUAUCGGUGAAGGAUGGGCAUGCGUGAUAUUAGGUAGUUGGCGGGGCAACGG
rnacentral:rRNA from 1 species